UAAUACGGAGGGUGCAAGCGUUAAUCGGAAUUACUGGGCGUAAAGCGCACGCAGGCGGUCUGUCAAGUCGGAUGUGAAAUCCCCGGGCUCAACCUGGGAACUGCAUUCGAAACUGGCAGGCUAGAGUCUUGUAGAGGGGGGUAGAAUUCCAGGUGUAGCGGUGAAAUGCGUAGAGAUCUGGAGGAAUACCGGUGGCGAAGGCGGCCCCCUGGACAAAGACUGACGCUCAGGUGCGAAAGCGUGGGGAGCAAACAGG
rnacentral:rRNA from 1 species